UGUUUAUAAAACAGCUUUCUAGAGGGGGUUGCUAUGUGGAUGGUGCGCGCGCUUUCGGGCGUGUGUGCUUUUUCGCAUGCAUUCUUUCUGGGAGGCUACAACCAUUCCGGUGACCAUUCUAUACCUUUUCCGCAAAAUGGUGCGCGAGCCUUUCGAGGUAAGCCACUGUUUUGUAUAUAUAUUUUAUCUAAAACCCACCAUGAAAAACCACAACAGAAACGAAACCAAGAAAAUAAAACUCGUGACGGAGGAUAUCUUGGCUCCCACAUCGAUGAAGAACGCAGCGAAAUGCGAUACGUAGUGUGAAUUGCAGAACACGUGAGUCAUCGAAUCUUUGAACGCAAGUGGUGCUCGCGGGCAAUCCUGCGAGCAUGUCUGUUUGAGUGUCCGCACAAAUUACUCGCACCCUUUUGUUCUUUUUGCUUUGGAAUUUAUUCUGAGGUAGGAAGUGAGAAAGGGGGCGGCGAUUGGGUUUUUAAUCUGCUUCACUGCGGAAGACCCGGAAAGCAGUGCUUGGAAAAUGGUACGGGGGUUUCGGCUCUUCGUGUCCUUCCGUGUGCGUUAACAUGUCUGCGCGACUAUCUAGCGCGGAAAACCAGUGUUUAAAACCAGCAAGCAAUGCGUGGUGCUUUUGUAGCGUCCGCUGCGCUGAGAAGAAAGGAAGUCUGGACGGGAUCAACGUUUCGGAGCUCUCUGCUGGGAAGUAACUACAUUCCAGGGGGGCGACGAGAUUGUGGAUGUUUUGUGCCAAACUGCCAUGAAAAAACUUUUCGGGGCACACGGCGGGAAUAGUCCGGCUGGAGGAGGAGUUCAUUUCACAUGGACGCAUUCUCUGGUUGGAAUUCUGCGGUGUAAAAGGCGGUGCGUGAAGGGGUGCUGUACACUACAUGCGCAGUGCGUCACUGGCGGACUUUAUUUUUUGGAUCUCAAAUCA
rnacentral:rRNA from 1 species